rnacentral:tRNA from 1 species
GCGAGAGUUGCUCAGUUGGUAGAGCGUCAGCCUUCCAAGCUGAAUGUCGCCGGUUCGAACCCGGUCUCUCGCUC